AAAUAAAAGAUUAUUAAUUAAAUUUUGUUAAAUAGGUUUUUAAUAUAAGUAAAUUUAAUUUGUUUAUUUUUUGUAUUAUUUAAAGAUAAAAUAAUUUUUAUUAUAGUAAAUUAGUAUUGAUAAAGAAUUUUGAAAAAUUUAUUAUUUAAUUAAAAGUAAUAUUUAUUUUAUGUACCUUUUGUAUCAGGGUUUAUUAAAUAAAAAUUAAGGAAUUUAUAAAUCUCGAAUUUAAAGGAGCUAAUUUAUUAUGGUAGUUUAUGUAUUAUAAUAAUUAUAAAUAUUAAAUUAGUAAUGAAACGUUAUUCGUCUUUUAAUAUAUCUAGUUUUUUAAGAAAUAAAUUUAAUUUACAUAUUUAUAAUAUAAUAUUUUUUAUUUAAAAAUUAAUUAUUUAUUAAUAUGAAUAUAUUAAGGGAUAAGCUUUAAUUUAUUAGAUUAUAAUUUUAUAAAUAUAAAAAUUAAUUGUAGAUUUAGAAAUAGUUAUCAAUAAAAAUUUUGUAUUAAUUUAUAAAUAAUAUUUAAUGUUUUAUAAAAUUUAAUUUUAGUAUUAAAAUAUAUUUUUUAAUAAUAAAGAAGUAGAAAUAAUGAUGAAAUUAGUAUAUAUUAUUUAUUUGUUUUAUUGUUUAGGUUAAAUCAAUUUAAGGAAUUCGGCAAAUAUAGUGUUCACCUGUUUAACAAAAACAUGUCUUUUAGAAAAUAAUUUAAAGUCUAACCUGCCCACUGAAUUAUUUUGAAGGGCCGCAGUAUUUUGACUGUGCAAAGGUAGCAUAAUCAUUAGUCUUUUAAUUGAAGGCUUGUAUGAAUGGUUGGAUGAAAUACUAACUGUCUCAGAUUGAUAAAAUAGAAUUUAAUUUUUAAGUUAAAAAGCUUAAAUAUAAUUAGAGGACGAGAAGACCCUAUAGAUCUUUAUAUUUUUAUUUUUAAUUUUUGUUUAGAUUAAAAAAUAUUUUUAAUAAUAAUAAUAUUUUAUUGGGGUGAUAACUAAAUUUAGUUAACUUUAUUUAAUAAAAACAUUAAUUUAUGAAUAAUUGAUCCAUUAUUAUUGAUUAUAAGAUUAAGUUACCUUAGGGAUAACAGCGUAAUUUUUUUAGAGAGUUCUUAUCGAUAAGAAAGUUUGCGACCUCGAUGUUGAAUUAAAGAUUAAUUUAGGUGCAGUAGUUUAAAUGUUUGGUCUGUUCGACCAUUAAAUCUUUACAUGAUUUGAGUUCAAACCGGCGUGAGCCAGGUUGGUUUCUAUCCUUAAUAAAAUAAAAUAUUUUAGUACGAAAGGACCAAAUAUUUAAAAAAGUUUUUUUUAUAAGAAUAGUAUUAAU
rnacentral:rRNA from 1 species